GUCGUCGUCGUCCACCUUCUUCUCCUUCUCCUUCUUCUUCUGCAUUUUUUUUUCUUUUUUUUUUCUUCUGAACUAAUAUCGAAUUUUUAUCUAUCUCUUUCCUUCUUUUUCUUUCCUUCAUUUUCUUUCUCUCUCUCUCUCUCUCUUUCUUUCUGUCUAUCUUUCUAUCUUUCUUUCUCUCUCUUUUUUUCGCUUGCUCUGUGUGAAAAUAUCUUUUUUUUUGUCGAGUGAUCGAUGACAACGGCAGGAUUCAAGAAUUUUUCGAAGAAAAUUUGUUUUGUGGAUAUUUCAAGUAUUUGACCGAGUAAAUAAAUUUAGAGAAGGGCCGGAGCUAAAGGGUGGGAGUGGGAGUGGGAGUGGGGUUUGUGUGUUACUCAAGGAAGAAUCUCGUGUGCCUACGAUAGAUAUAAACAUACAAAAUAUCUCUUCUUCUUUUUCUUCUUCUUUUUCUUUCUUUUGGACUUUUCUUUUUUUUUUCUAUUUCUUUGUUUCAGUUCGAGGGACUCGAGAAGAAGAAGAUCGAUUAUGAGCUCGUGUUGCUUGAUUUUUCUUUCUGUUUUUCGUUUCUUCUUUCUUUUUGGUUUAAUAUCUCCGACAAAUUUGCAUACUCGUAGAUUAGAUAUAUAAAUUUUAUGGAUGGAUAUGUUUAUCGAGAACGAAUAUAUAUAUUUAUCGAGUGUACAAAAAAAGGGAGAGAGAGAGAAAGAGAUGAAAUCUCAUUGUCCCCUUUCUUUCUCAUGAAUAAUCAAUAUAAUAUAAUCAAUAUAAUUAAUAUAACCAAUAAUCCAUAUAUCUUUAUCUUAUUUCUCAUUGAAAGUGUCAGAAAACAAAUCGAUAAACAAAUCGAUUCAAAAAGAAAGAGAAGAAAGUAAAAAAAAUAAUAAUAAUAAGAAAGAAUGGAAAAAAGAAGAAUUAAAAGAUCUGAGAAAAACUUUACGGGGCGUGUCCAUACGAAAGAAAUGGGAGAAAUGGGAAGUGUAUAAAGGAUAAAAAUAUAAAAAGAAAGGAAGAAAGAAAGAAAUUGGGAAAGAAAGAUGGUGGAAAUGAGAGCGUAGUGAAGAAGAGUGGAGUGUCGGUGAAAUUUACACUUGAAAGGUGCAGCCAAAAGUGCGAGUGUUGGUCGUCGUCAGACGUGUUUUAGAAGGAAAAAAGAAAGAAGAAAAAAGAAGAAAUAGAGAAAGAAAACAGAAAAAAAAGAAAGGUAGAAAGAUUAGAAAGCCAAGAAAAAGAUUAAGUGUGCUAGGAGAAGCAGGUUCGUUUAAGAAACGAUCGAAUGAUGCAGUGCGAAUAAUUAAUUAAUGAAUGAACGAACGAACGAACGAACGAGCGAAUGAAUGAACGAACGAAUGAAUGAAAUGCUUCGCACGUAAUUACGGCCGCUGAAGCUGUUAGCUGUGCGAGUCGGAGAGAGAGAGAGAGAGAGAGAGAGAGAGAGAGAGAGAGAGAGAGAGAGAUAGAGUGACAGACAGAGAGAGAGAGAGAGAGAGAGAGAAAUUUCUCUCUUCGAAUGUACUUACGACGAUCGCCGAUCUCGAAGGAACGCACAGAUUCACUAAUUGUAGAUCGUUUCGAUCCUCCUGCACCGUAGUCCUUCCUUUCGAUCUAUCCUGAAAGUCCACGGAAAUCUCUUUAUUCGAGAAUGAAAUUACGUCCUCGUCCCAUAAAACUCCCAAUUUCAAUGAUCGUUCAAUUUGUAUUCGAACGAAAUCAUCGAAUCAAUAUCGAUUAUGAAUAAGAUGAGAGCGCGUUGAUUAAGCCUUGAAAUAAAAAGAAAAGAAAAGAAGAGAAAAAGAAAAAAAAGAAAAGUGAACGAUCGGAAAAAAGGAUAAGGAUAAGAUAAGAAAUGAAAUAAAAAUAAUACAAAGGAAAAAGAAGAAAAAAGAAAAAAGAAGAAAAGCAUGGCGGCUCUUGAUAGCGGGACGUACUUGUAGAGAGAGGAGACCAUCGAGGUACUAAUGAUCCAACCUAACCGUGAGUUACAUCAACGGUGGCCAGUGUCUUGUAAGUUGCUAAGUGAAAAUACGCGUAGAUCCUUCGGAGAUACAAGAGAUCCUCUUUCUCUUCUCUCCUUCUUCCUCUAUUUCCAUGUAAGAGAAAGAAAGAGACAAAAAGGAGAAGAAGAAGAAGAAGGAGGAGGAGAAGAAGAAGAAGAAGAAGAAGAAGAAGAAGAAGAAGAAGUAGAAGCAGUAAACGGCUGGAGAUUGCACCGGUGCAACGAGUUCUACGUGCCGUGCAUAAUUUUGGACAUAAGUGAGACAGAGAGAGAGAGGGAGAGAGACAGAGAAAGAGAGAGAGAGAGAGAAAGAAAGAGAGAUAAGGAUGAAAUAAAUGAGAGAAGAAGAAGAAGGAAAGUAAUAAAAAAAAAGUCGCGAUAUAUAUACGUAUGUAUGUAUGUAUAUAUAUAUAUCUCUAUCAUUCUUUCUCUUUAGGUACCCUUCCCAUCUAUCGUGCUUGGAAAUCAGUAAAGAAAAGGAAGGAAGCAACAAAAGAGAAUUUUGAAAGAGGAGCCGCCACGGGCCAACUCGAGUGGGAGAAACUCUCGCAACAUGUGGUUAACGCGAAGUAACGACUCUGCGUUGUAACGUUACUGCUUAGACAGACAUAUUGUGGGCUUUAGUGCUCGCGAGAAAUAUAUAUAUAUGUGUGUGUGUGUACGUAUAUUAUAUAAAAAAUAUUUUGAAAAUCCGACAGGAAGGUUCCGACUCUACUUGACACAACUCUCUUUCAGCUUUCUCUUUUUCUUAUUACAAAAAAAUAAUAAUUACGUGUAGAAUUCGCGAAGAAUUAUUUCCAAGAUCAAAUUCGCGAAUCGCGAAUAUUACGUUUCAAAGCGAACGUUUAAAUAAUAUUUUCUAUGAAAGAAUAUUUUAUCGUCGGGAGUGUAUGCAUUUUGUUUUUGUUAUCGUUACGUUUUGUUUCGUUUUCGGAAAGAAUAUCUUUAAGAAAGAAGUUUAGAAGCUUAUCGUAGAGAAAAUCGAUGCGGCUGGUUCGAUGUUCGUAUUUAAAGCUUUUUUGAAUACACCCACACGUGCGUUCGAUUCGCAGCACAAGCUCCAGUCCGCAGGAGCGACGUAAAUUUCACGCGUAUUUACGUUUAUACGAUCUUGUGUUCGCGAAAGAAAGAGAGAGAGAGAGAGAGAAAGAGAAAGGGUGGCUCUAAAAAUCUGUCGAGCGAGAAAAAAGAAUCGAAGCUUGGCGUUAAAAAAUAAAUGGAAAAGGGAAAAAACAACAACAACAACAACACGUAUAAAAUAUUCGCCUUGUUAUGGGAAUUUUUUACGAGGCUGAAAAUGAUCGAAAUUUACAAAGAAAUUUGUUCGCUAGUCGGAAUUGUUCGGAUUAUUUAUUAUUAUUAACCAAAAAGUAAUUUUUAUUUUUCUUCUUUCUUUUUUCGAGCGAACGAACGAAAGAAUAUUCGUAAAUAUCGAAAAGAAAGGGGAGGAAGAGAGAAAGAAAAGGAGAGAGAGAGAGAGAGGGAGAGAGAGAGAAAGAACAAGAAAAAGAACAAGAAAAAGGAAGAAAGAGAAAAAGAGAGGGAAGGGGAGAGAUCGUAUCGCGCUACAUUUUGCGACUGCAUCCACGUGCGAUCGUUUUACUCACGAUAAAUGUACGUAUCGCAAAGAGAAGGGAAAGAACUCUUGCGACGAGAGUAGUCACGCAACGAGUUCGCUAUCCGAUGUAUCUGCCUACGUGACGUGCCACCCCUGUCGGCAGAUUAUCGCGAAAGAUGUCUAAGGCGAUCUCCUCUCCUUCUUUUCUAAACGGCCGAACGGAAGGAAAUUUUUGGAAAGGCACGUAUAUCCAUUAUUAUCGAAUUUUACAUUUACGUGACGACGCAAAGAUCCCAAAUUUUCGAAUCGAUUAUAAUCGUUACCGUCGUUUUAAACCACCGAUAAUAAUUUAUAUAACGUCGUUAAAUUUAUCAUUAAUUAAUAUCUCUUAAAUACACGUUUAGCAGUAUAUCAAAUUUAUUUUGUAGAAAUGAAAAACAAUUCGUUUCUGUCCACUUCGAAUUUAUUCUUUCGAUUAUCUACGUUAAAAAUCAGUGACACGUACUAUUAAUAUUAUAAAAUAUUUUCAUAACAGGUUAAAAAGAGAAUAAUCAUAAAACAUUUUACAAUUUUUCUUAAAGACAGAUUCAUUAUUAUCAAAUUCUCGAUUAAUCUGACACCGGGCAAAAGAAUUAAUUUCGAAUUUAGUUAUAAUAUUUUUUAUAAACCAAGUAUCGAUUUAGCAGUAGCUUUGUUGGCGUAAUACCAGUAUCAAAAACAUACCGGUUUUCAGUCAUUUGGAAUAAUACCAGUAUCAAAAUCAAACCGGUUUUAAAUCCCCGAAUGGGGGUGUUUAUUACCGGAUGUAAAGGUGUGUCUAUCUGUUAGAGUUGGAGGGGAGUUUUAUCGAGGCCCUCUUCUUAGGGGGUUAUGGAUAAGAAGAGGAGGGUUGUUAAUCUAUCCGUUACUUUAACGAAACGUAGCCACGUCCCUAACAAAGUUAACCACGCCCAAUCAAAGUGAACCACGCCCCAUAAAAGUUAGAACCGCCCCAUCCACGGUUAGUCCCUCCCACGUAAAAGUUUAGUCAUGCUCUUUGCUAAGUUAGAAACGUUCGAGAACGAUUAACCACGCCUCCACAAAGUUUACCACGCCUUUCCUCUAGUUAAACACAUCCCUAUUCUUCUUAUCCACGCCUUCUUUUAAGUUAGACCCGCCUUCUUCCAAGUUAGUCACGCCCCCGCCAAAAUUAAUCAGACCUCCUUCGUCAUUAGCCACGGCCCAUUAAAGUUAAUCACUCCCUCAUCGCUGCAAAACUUCCCCUAGCUCCAAUAGUAACGUUCCUAUCCUAGUAAGUAACUUAUUUUCCAAAAACUUAAAGCCGGAAUGAUUCUGAUAUUGGUAUUAUGCCAACGAAGCUAUAUCAAGAUCGAUAACUGCCGAAAUUAAUAAAUAUACUGAUAUUUUUUUCUGUUAUCAACAUAACAGGUCAAGACUAAGAUAUAUUUUGCUUUACAGUAAAUCAUUUUUUAUUUUUGCAAAUAAUAAAAAUAGUCCAAAGAAUGAUAAAAAAUUGAGUAAAAGAAGAUCGAUAAAAUUUUUGUGGGAAGAUCAGGAGAAACGAUCGAGAAUGGAUCUCUCGAUCUUACUAAGGCUCUGUCAGGUCGUGCGAGGCAGUUAGUCGCAUUAGCGCCGCAAUGAAAGCGUAGCUCGCACCCGAGGUCUGCAAUCGUUUUCGAUCGGUGCACGCUCGAAUGCAUUCGCGUUCGCGAGCCUGGCCGAUCUUAAUUACAAUCGCAAAUGAGACGGCGAGCGGAUAAUUGCGGGCUAUGUUGCAAGUCUCCACGAAGCUGUUCGACCGUUUAUCCUAAGUAAAGCUACUCUGCAUUGCCACGAAUCGAUCUUUAAUAUAUGAAUUUAGGUUUACUAAUUCCAAUCAAUUCCUUUUUUUUUUUUUUUUAAUAUGAACAUUAAAGUAAUAUUAAGCUAUAAUUAUGAACACAUUGUAAGUUAAACAUUAAAAUUACUAGUUGCGUAUCAAUGAGAAAAAGUUCGAAGAAUUCGAAUAAAUAUACUAAAUGACACUUGGAGGCAACUACGACACAUUAGAAAAAUAUUAGAUACUUGUUAUAAAAAUUCUGACACAUAGCCAUUAAAAGUAACACCGUGAUGAAACAAAAUUCAGAACCAGGAAAUACACUAACGUUGCCGAGCAACACGAUACGUAAAUCGUUGAUAAGAAUGGCUGGCGUACAUGUAGAUUAAAACAAAAAAAAAAAAGAAAAAAGAAAAAAGAAAGAUUACGUGCAUAAAAGGAGAGAGUGCUCGUUUAUCUUAUCUGACUGUUACAAAAUUAUUUAUAUCGAAGAGAGGAGUCGUUGCUAUCGAAAAUAUACCGGGGAAAUAGGUAGACGCUAAAUAAUUAUUUAAUUUUUUCCUUUUCAUUCAAACGAAAAUAUCGAAACACCUACGAUCUUAUUCGUUUCUAAUUAUUUCCAAUUAUUUCGAAUCGAUCAAAUUUCGUUUAGGAAAUAAAAAGAAAUUAAGAAACGUAUCGAUAUCGGGACAAUUAUUUUCCGUAAAAAGAAACUUAAACGCGUAACUUACAACAAUAUCAAUUUGUUACGAUCUCUUAAUCGAUUCAAAUGU